CGGUAAGAGAAAUUGAUUUCUUUCUACCAUAUUAUCUAUCCAGAUUUUAUAGAAUUCUGUUGCUUCUAGUCCGAUUAUUUCAUUUAUUAAAUCUUAAGCAAAAAUAGAAUCUUUUUUUCAUUCACUGUAUUGACAUGAAUUAAGAAAUGAAAUCAUGUUUUAAGUCAAAUUAGUCACUUUGACUUACCGUUUUUACAUAAAUUAUAGUAAAAAGGCAGUGGGAACUAGAAUGAAAGUGCAGUAGCAAUAAAUGCCAGAAUAUUUACUUCCACAAGGAAUCGUGAUGUCUUUCUAUGGAAUCGCGGGUCUCUUUAUUAGUUCAUAUUUGUGGUGUACAAUUUGGUGGAAUGUGGGUAGUGGUUAUGAUCGAUUCGAUAAAAAAGCGAGAAUAGUGUGUAUUUUUCGUUGGGGAUUUCCUGGAAAAAAUCGUCGUAUUUUUAUUCGAUUUCUUAUGAAAGAUAUUCAGUCCAUCAGAAUAGAAGUUAAAGAGGGUAUUUCUACUCGUCGUAUCCUUUAUAUGGAAAUCAUAGGACAGGGGGCCAUCCCCCUGACUCGUAUUGACGAGAAUUUAACUUCACGAGAAAUUGAACAAAAAGCUGCGGAAUUGGCCUAUUUCUUGCGUGUACCAAUUGAAUUACUUUGAAAAAAAGAAAUGAAACUGAAAAAAUGAAUGCUUUCUUCUGAAAAAGAGAUUUUGUUUUGAUAGAAGGGGCCCUCUUUGGAUACAAAAUCCGACUAAUAUUCAUUACGCGAAGUGUUCCUCCGUGUAUUCAUUAAAAGGUCUAAUUGCUUCGAAUAUUAGUAAUUGAUGUCUUUGAUGAAAAAAUAAUAUUUAUUUUUUCAUCAUGCCAAAAUUGGCAGUGGAUUCUUUCGAUUUUUAGUCUAUUUCUUUAUUGUUUCUAAAUUCAAGAACUAAUUCCCGAAUUGAAAAUAAAAAAAACGCGGGAAUAGAUUAUAGAUUUUCUAUGACUUGUAAUAGAACUUAUGCUUGAUAGAAACAUUAUUAUCAUCCUAUAUAGUUGACGGAUGAGAUAAAGCCGAAGCUAAGUUCGUUCAUUAAAAGAUAUUUUUGACUGGUUAGUAUUCCAAAAAAAAUCAUCAAUUCUACAACAAAACCGCUCAUGCCUGGCAAUGCAAGAGAAGCCAUUGAUAAGAUACUGAAAACUGUGAAUAUUUUGGGCAUUGGGAUAGCCAUUCCACCCAUUUGGUCAAGAUAAAGAAGACGUAGUCUAUCAUAACCUGUUCCCGCCAAGAAAAAAAGCGCAGCACCAAUAAAUCCAUGAGAGAUAAUUUGUAAAAUGGCCCCGUUGAGCCCCGUAUCACUUAUAGAACCAAUUCCAAUAAUUAUGAAACCCAUAUGAGAUACCGAGGAAUAAGCUAUUCUUUUCUUUAAAUUACGUUGACCAAGAGAUGUUGAAGCUGCAUAGAUUAUUUGAAUUGAACCUAAUAACAUUAACCAGGGGAAAAUAUGGAAUGAGCGUGAGAUAAUAAUUCCAUAUUAAUUCGAACCAAUCCAUAUGCGCCCAUUUUUAAUAAGAUUCCGGCUAAAAGCAUACAAGUGCUGUAAUGUGCCUCUCCGUGGGUGUCCGGUAACCAUGUAUGUAAGGGUAUAAUCGGCAAUUUUACAGCAAAAGUAAAAAGAAAUCCCAUAUAAAAUAUUAUUUCGAGCACCCCAGGAUACGAUUGAUUAGUUAAUGUUUCAAAAUUUAAUGUCGGUUCAUUAAACUAUAUAAACCGAUACCUAGAAUUCCCAUUAAUAAAAAAAUAGAGCUUCCCGCAGUGUAUAAAAUAAACUUUGUAGCUGAAUACAAACGUUUCUUUCCCCCCCACAUGGAUAAAAGUAUAUAAACUGGAAUUAAUUCCAAUUCCCACAUGAUGAAAAAAAGUAAAAUGUCUUGACAAAAAAAGGUCCUAUUUGACCGCUGUACAUUGCUAGCAUCAGGAAAUGGAAUAAUCGGGAUUCUCGAGUAACCGGUUGAGCCGCUAAAGUAGCUAUAGUGGUAAUAAAUCCUGUCAAUAAAAUGGGUCCUAUAGAGAGUCCAUCUAUUCCGAAUCUCCAGUAAAAAUCAAAAAAAUUAAUCCAUUUAUAAUUUUCUGUCAGUUGGAUUAAUGGAUCAUCCAAUUGGAAAUGAUAACAAAAUGCAUAGGCUGUUAUUAGCAGAUCGAUUAAACAUAUGCAAAUUGUAUACCACUUAAUUACCUUAUUUCCUCGAUAAGGAAAUAAGAAUAUUAAGGAACCCCCGGCUAUUGGGGCGUAGGCCUCCCAAAAGGUAACGGAGGCGUGCAAAGGUUUCCUCGGGCCAGACGGAGAUUGGCCCUCGAGUGCAAAGGUAGAAGGGAGCUUGACUGCAAGACCCACCCGUCGAGCAGGGACGAAAGUCGGCCUUAGUGAUCCGACGGUGCCGAGUGGAAGGGCCGUCGCUCAACGGAUAAAAGUUACUCUAGGGAUAACAGGCUGAUCUUCCCCAAGAGCUCACAUCGACGGGAAGGUUUGGCACCUCGAUGUCGGCUCUUCGCCACCUGGGGUUAUAGUAUGUUCCAAGGGUUGGGCUGUUCGCCCAUUAAAGCGGUACGUGAGCUGGGUUCAGAACGUCGUGAGACAGUUCGGUCCAUAUCCGGUGUGGGCGUUAGAGCAUUGAGAGGACCUUUCCCUAGUACGAGAGGACCGGGAAGGACGCACCUCUGGUGUGCCAGUUAUCGUGCCCACGGUAAAUGCUGGGUAGCCAAGUGCGGAGCGGAUAACUACUGAAAGCAUCUAAGUAGUAAGCCCACCCCAAGAUGAGUGCUCUCCUAUUCCGACUUCCCCAGAGCCUCCGGUAGCACAGCCGAGACAGCGAUGGGUUCUCUGCCCCUGCGGGGAUGGAGCGAAAGAAGCUUUGAGAAUUCAAGAGAAGGUCACGGCGAGACGAGCCAUUUCUCAUUAACGAUAGGUGUCAAGUGGAAGUGCAGUGAUGUAUGCAGCUGAGGCAUCCUAACAGACCGGUAGACUUGAAC
rnacentral:rRNA from 1 species